CCCGAAGAAGGAUCAUAAUCUUAGUACCUGAUUCUUACCAAGCCUAAGCACUCUUGUCAUUGAGUGGGCAAAGAUCCUGCGGCAACUACCCACCUUGCUGCCCGCGAGGUGAGUCUCGCUCAGGGCACCACCCAACCCACGGUUCGUUUCCUCAACUUUCUUAGUGAGGUCCACCAUCUUCUCAUGGAGUAGCUCAGGGGUAGACCGGUUUAGCAGGUCAAGUUAAUCCACUAGGAGGAGAUUCGGGACACUCCCUUUGCCACCUGGGAGGGAUAGGCAGUGGAGCUCCUUCUCAACGGAUGUGCCGAGAGCAUCUUCGAGGUAGAUGAUCCUGCCUACGAGGU
rnacentral:lncRNA from 1 species